UCUGCUUCAUAGUGAGUUCAAUUGUAAUGAGAACUUGUCUCAAAAUAAAAAGUAAAAAGAAUCCUGAGAUGUAGCUCAGUAGUAGAAACAUCGCCAAAGAUACACAGGACCCUGAUUCAAUCCUCGAUAACAAAAACCACCCCUAACUUUAGAGUUCAAGGGAUCUGAUACCCUUUCUUGUCUCUAUGCACACAUUACACACACACUUUAAAACAUUUUAAAGGAUUAACAAAUCUGAUGAACAUUUAUUUAUUUUUCCAAGAUCAUCCCACCACUGUUUUUGAGACAAGACUGACCUUGAACCAACCCCCUUUGUAGCAGAAGAUGAUCCUGACCUGAUCCUCAUGCCUGAACUUGACAAGUGCUGGGAUUACAAACAUUCUCCACCACACUAAAUCCAGGGCAUCUUUUUAGGGUCUUGCCACAUUCUUUCUACUGCAUGAAAAGAAGUUUUCUGCUGUGUCUUCCUCCUUCCAAUCUAGAGAGGUUGGAAAGCCAGCACGUGGGCUCUGGGACUACUGCUCAGUUGGUAAAGUGCUCCAUGCAAGCAUGAGAACAUAGCGUGGAUCCCUGGGACCAAGAGACCCCGAGAGGCAGGAGACUUACAAUGAAGACUCUGCUUGAAGGUACACGUUCUCCCAGCAUGGGCCCAGGCAGCCCAUUUGUAGACCAGGAGUCUACACUGGACUUUGAGGUCAUACUUGCAUUUCCUCCAUGAGAAUCAAGGUGUCUGGAAGUUUUUCAGGAAGCAGUGGGGCCUGAUGCAGCUCACACAGUCUGCUAGAACUCAGAUCUCCC